AUGUCUGGAUGGUCCUCAAGAAAUAGCAAUGGCCACCACCUCCUUAGCCAGUUGGUGUCCAGAUUCUACCUGUGUAUCGGUGAGUGAGAGGGCUCCCCUCAGUGGUAUCAUUGUCAUUUGAAUCUUUCUGCAGCUUUAGCAGAAUCUCUGCCCCUCCACCCCACUCUGGACUGGGGACCCAGGACUCUGCCUUUUGAAAAGAUGACCUUUCUACCACCAACCAGUUUGUCUUACAUCCACCAGGAGAGGACCUGGGAGGAAAAUGAUCUCUGGACACCACUACUCACAGUAAAUUCUGCAAACAGGAAUUUGGGAAUGAACACCAUCUUACAUUGUAACCAGAUCUUUCAGUGGUCGGAUAGUUAGGUGGUUGACCGCAACCAGAUGGCCCAAUCAUAAUGGAUUCUAGAGGUUGUCCUUUGAGGCUUCCUGGGCAGUAGGAAUAACAAUUUCAUUUUCAACGGUGUUAAAUUACACAGAAGGACAGAACAGAUGCCCUUCUCCCAGGAAAGCAAAGAGCUCUCUAGAAAAAAAAGAGUACUUGAAGGAGUCAUUUGUCCUUGGAUCAUUGGAAAAUCAUGGCUCAUUUCCAGGAAAGACAGAAUGUGGAAUGUGAGAACCACUGAGCAUCAUCCUUCGCACAAUGGAAGGAAUCAACCUAUGUAGCUGUUACCAUAAGAAGCGAUGUCUGGUAAGUUCUGCCGACUUGUCUAUGGACAGAGAACUCCACUAACACUAUUGCCUGCUUUGUUCUUUGUCUUCGUCACCCAUCUAGGCUGUCACAUGAUGAUGAAAAAGAGUGAUGAGAACCAUCUACUAGGAUAAAGACACUGGAAAGACUUCAGUCCAUCUAACUCUUGCCUUUUGCCAGGGAGGAAACAGAAGCCCAGGGAGGUUGCCCAGUUUAAACCAAAACACCUAUCACCAACUAGGGGUAGAGCAGGUAUUAGAUCUGGGGCCUUAUAUUUAGCCAAGCUCUGUUCUGUGAAGGUCUGCAACAUGGAGCACUAGCCUAUCUUCUUGUCUGGCUUGUGUUUGACACCACCAAAAAUCACAAAUACUUCACAGUGCUUGUCCUAGGUGUUGGAGGUGUAUAGCUUGCUAAAAGAUGUCUAUUUCUAGCCUUUAUGGAUGGCCUACUCCCUGCAAAUUCACUCAGGCUAGCAGACUGCUGCCGCCUUUGAGACACUUUCCAUGGUGUUGCUUGGUGGUUGCCAUGACAACAAAAUGUGAUGGAAAUAGAGUUUUCUAGAGGACUAUGCUGGUGGAGGCUCUAAAGCCAGAUUACAGCUACCACUUUGAAGCUUAAAGAAUAUCAGUGGAUGGGGCUGGCACGUAGUAGGUAUGCCGCGACACUGUGGCAGGAAUGAAUGCAGGCCUGUCACAGAGUUGCAAGAGGAACCAGCAGAGAUCUAAGCCACAAAAGUGAAUGUUUGAGGUCACAUGGAACAGCUUCACUUCCCCCCUUCCUUGAGAAAUGAUGGCAGUGAAUUUUCAUAAUUAAAGUCAUGCUGUGUGGGAAAUGACUUAUUAUCAGAACUACCAGGAAGGCUUGUCAAACCACCUAUUGCCGGGGAUCCAUACUCAGGGCUUCAAAUCACUGCAUACGCUACAUCACUAACAGCACAGAUUUCUCUGUGUAUGACACGUCGCCAAUAACCCACAU
rnacentral:lncRNA from 1 species